rnacentral:rRNA from 1 species
AGCAGUAGCCACGGGAAUACGAAGGGGGCUAGCGUUGUUCGGAUUUACUGGGCGUAAAGGGCGCGUAGGCGGACUGAUAAGUCAGGGGUGAAAUCCCAAGGCUCAACCUUGGAACUGCCUUUGAUACUGUUUGUCUUGGGUUCGAGAGAGGUAAGUGGAACUGCGAGUGUAGAGGUGAAAUUCGUAGAUAUUCGCAAGAACACCAGUGGCGAAGGCGGCUUACUGGCUCGAAACUGACGCUGAGGCGCGAAAGCGUGGGGAGCGAACAGGAUUAGAUACCCGCGUAGUCCCUGUCUCUUAUAC